GCGCUAACAGUCGACAUAGUUCGUGAAAAUGAUAAAAAGCCCAGGUCUUGUUUAAUUAUUCAUAAAAACUUGUUGCAAUUUAAAGCUGUAUUUCAGGGGUUUACCCCCUUUUCUGUGAGAAACUACCAGCUUUUGAAGUGAUGUCUUUUUCACAUCCCUGAGCAUUUUUAAGUGCAGGUGAACACGUUGCUAGGAAGACAGAAGUAAGAAGGAUCUAUAAAUGGCUUCUACUCCUUUGGUUUCUGCAGUGGAGGUGGUGCAGGGGAGGGAAAGGGUUACUCACUGACCAUUAGUGUGCUCAAGUGCAGUACAUUCUAUGGCCUGUCAACUCCUCGACUAAUGUGUGAGGAAAUAUCUCUAUUUUCUCCCUCAGUGAAAAUUACCUGGUCUGACAUGACUAAGAGUACGCAAUGUUUAGACAUUUUCUUUCCUUUUUUUGUGGUCUUUCUUUUUUUCUUUUUUUUCUUUAGAAAAGGUGUCAUGUUAAAAAUGGUGACAUUUCGUUUUAAAUAAAUAGCAAUUAAUAUCCUAGAGAAAUGAGAAUUAAAUGCAAAAUUAAUAGAAAUAUUGAAGUUUUUUCAAACAUCUUUCCUUUCAAUGGUGCAGUUGCAGUUGCUGUACAUUGUAGUAAUCAGAGCAACUAAUAAAAACAUAAAUACAAGCUAUGACAAAAGAGCUGUUUAGUUCUCUCCAACAAACUCCUGCCAUAGGUAAAGCCACUUUAUUUGACUCUUUACAGGCUAAAAAGUUGGAAAAACAGCCACUUAUCCUCUUCUUUAUGAUGGUACUUUCUUACUGCUGUGUUUUUCUCCCAGUUAGAUCAAAGAACAGGGAGGUUCUUGGAAAAAAAAAACAUACUACAUCCUCAUCACAUGAUCGUCGCGAACAACAAUUGUCUCUAAGUAAUGCUGAGUUGUACGUAACUAACAAAUGAGCCUCUCCAUGCUUGUAUGUUGAGUUAAGAGGUGCCGAGUGGCGAACAGAGUUACGUGUUCAGGGGUUUUAACCCCUGCUGUUCCUGUCUGUCCAACAUCCCCACCGCCACCUACCUCACCCUCUCGCCCCCGCCCGAGCCCCCUCUGUUUUCUCAGCGCUCCGUUUCUUCAUAGAGCCAAUACAAACAGCAUUAUUUAUGCUCUGCAAAACACUCCUUAAUUACUCAUGAACUGGCACACGCUCCAGAGUCCGCCGCUCCCUACCUCCCACCAACAGCCAUUAAACACUCCCUAAAAGCUUGCUAUUUGAUAUUAGCACACUUGAGCCUUUGAGAAGAAAUAAAAAAAAUAAAAAAAUAAAUCUGCGAGUGAUUUACAUAUGCACAGCAGCUGAUAUUUAUACUUGGCGGCAUGUCCCUGAAGGGCUUGUCUUAUUACCUCCAUCCUCGGGUCCUUGCACUGAGACCAGGAAGGAAGGCAGGUGAUUAAUUCUGUACUCAUGAGAAGCCAACAAGAGAAGGUUUUUUUUUCUCCUUCUUCUUCUUUCUCUUGCUCCUUUUUUUUGGAAAACAUUUGUUCUCUUUAUUUUAUGGUUUCCUUUGCCUUUUUAUUUUCAUAUCUAAUUUUAUUGUUCCCUUUUAUAAAGGUUUACGUGUGAUUAAGUGGUAAUGUGGUUUAGGUACACGGUGCACUGCAUGUAGAUGAUGUUUUAUCCACUAAUAAACAGCUGUUUAACUUUUCCACAGUUGUGGAGACACUCUUGAGCAGUUGUGUAGAGCACAUGAUGUCUUUGUACUUUGUCACAACACUAAGAAGAAAGUUGUCAUUAGGCUUCUUGUUGCAUUACAGUAACAUAUUUCAUCCUAAUGAGCUCUCAACCAUCCCUUAGCGAAUUUAUGUUUAAAUAAAAUUCCUGUGCCGGAUGUAUGAAGUCUUUUUUUUAUUUUAUUUUUUACAAUGAUCCAGCUUUAAAGUUUAUUAAUUGAUCAUACAGAUACUCUCAGAUAUAUUGAUAAUGAUGUCAAAGGCACACUCUUUACAGCACCUGCUCACAAGCUCACCCAGCAAAUAAAUCCAGUAGUAUUUUUUAUGCUUGCAGUUUAAUUACCUGCACAUGUUACUUCUAAAAAGCUGGCCAACCAUUGAGCCAGAUUAUUAUUAUUUAAAACACCAAAACAUAAAUAAAAUGUUCAACUUUGUCUCUAAUUACAACAUCAGAUUGAAACGAUAAAGCUAUCAACUGCUCGCUCAGUGUGUUUAAAAUCCUGCUGUCUAAUUACUGCUUUAGUCCCAUAUCCCUAUGACAUGGCAGUGAUAGAUCAUUAUUUUUCCCUGCAAUUUGUUAUAUUCUUUGCAAUAUAAUUGGAUCAGAUUAAUUAUGAUGAUUAAUGGAUUCUUAGAUUUCUGUGUGUGACCAUUAAUAGCAGAGGUUUAAAACAGGCAACACG
ensembl:lncRNA